GAUGAACGCUGGCGGCGUGCCUAAUACAUGCAAGUCGAGCGAACAGAUGAGGAGCUUGCUCCUCUGACGUUAGCGGCGGACGGGUGAGUAACACGUGGAUAACCUACCUAUAAGACUGGGAUAACUUCGGGAAACCGGAGCUAAUACCGGAUAAUAUAUUGAACCGCAUGGUUCAAUAGUGAAAGACGGUUUUGCUGUCACUUAUAGAUGGAUCCGCGCCGCAUUAGCUAGUUGGUAAGGUAACGGCUUACCAAGGCAACGAUGCGUAGCCGACCUGAGAGGGUGAUCGGCCACACUGGAACUGAGACACGGUCCAGACUCCUACGGGAGGCAGCAGUAGGGAAUCUUCCGCAAUGGGCGAAACCCUGACGGAGCAACGCCGCGUGAGUGAUGAAGGUCUUCGGAUCGUAAAACUCUGUUAUUAGGGAAGAACAAAUGUGUAAGUAACUAUGCACGUCUUGACGGUACCUAAUCAGAAAGCCACGGCUAACUACGUG
rnacentral:rRNA from 1 species